UGUUAUGCCAAUGAAUUCUCUGUCCAUUUGUUUACUUUCCAGGUCGAUGGGGAGGGUUCGGAUGCCACCGACUCAGAAAAACAAAACAAAAUGUGACGUGUGUUGAAUUAGUGCCACGUUUUGUUGGCCGCCCCGCUCGUGCCAAUAGCUGUCACGUCUGAGCCAGCGGGCCUGGACGGGGGUUUUGGUAUGUGGUGGCUGCGGUACAAGGACGGAUCAGAGCGUUACGUUCCGCUGCGUGCUGCUCGGUCAUCUGACACAUUCCUGUGGGAACGGUUCUCUCACGGCGGGGACAGUGCACACAUCUAGAGCAGACGGACACAGCGCGAAGGCAAAGCGCCUGGAAACCAACUGAGAGAUGACCAGAAGCUUUCCUCUCAUCGUUCCCGUCAAGACGUCUCUCCAACCUACGCAGCAUCCGUGGCCGUGACAAGAGAAGUGACGGGGAUUUGUGUUUGUACAGAGGUUGCAAGAAAAAAGGAGGAGGGAGGGAGGAGACUAAAUGGCAAGAAGCCAUGUUCAGCAUCCGUGAACGGCGACUGGCGAGCGGACGGUCCCACAGGAGAGGGGCUGGUUUCGCUGAGUGUGUGCUUGGAAUACUGAUACAUGGCCCCAGCAGCAGCAGCAGCAGCAGCAGCAGCAGCAGCCCUCCCCACCUGAGCCAGCAUCCCCCCAUCCGUUGUUUCUGCAUGCACGACCGAAAAAAACGAGUGCAGACACAACACGGGGCACCGCAGACAAAACACAACAACGUGACUUUCAGCACAAGCAGUGUGGACGAUCCUGAAUGGACCCUUUCACUUUCACCUUUGUAAUCUCGCUGCUGUUACAGCACAGCGGCUGACAGAGCAAUCUCUAUCUCAAGCUCCAUUUAGUAGCUGUGCUUAAGCUUUUGUCUUGAAAAAGAAACUCCUUCAUCAAGAUUGUCUCCAAUGAUUGAAAAAGCUCCAGAACAGCUACUUAAUGGACCGUAACUUUUAAUUUGGUUAAGUUGCUUAGAAACAGGAAGUUGAGAUCAUUUGAGUUGUGCUUUUGAACCAAAGGCGAAUGCUAACAUUUAAAUAUAUAUAUAAUCUUUCUACUACCUAUUAGGAGACAUACACAUACACAUUGCAUACUUUUAGUGAUCGCCAAGAAAAUGUUAUCUGUGAACUGGAAGGAUCUACAUAAUGGAAUGUACGACUGUAAGCCUACCACAGAAAAUUUACGUAUUUGGCACCGUACUGAACUCCACACACAGAUUUAAUAUAUCUGCACUUAAAAUUCAUGAUGUGCUGGAGGGAGAGAAGAUUUUGGUAUUGGAAGUGUUCUGGUCAACGUGAGUGUUUGUUGCAUGAAGGUCAACAGUCUGAUUUUUGACAAUUAAGCUUUUUUAUUAUUUUUUUUUAGCAUCCAUAUGAAGAUAGAUUAAAUCUGUCUCCCCGUAACGCGUUAACCCCGUCAUGUGUUGAGUCGUAUCUUGAGUUGUGUCUCUUGCUAUGUCCUGCUUAAAGUUUGUAAGAUUUUUGAGAUUCCAAAGCAUCAGUUUUUAUUGACGAGUUGGGAAUGAGAUGUGAGCUUUGAAUACAUAAAAGCAAAAAGGCAUGGAAGAGGAAGAUUUAACCUCCAGUACCUGUAAUUUGUUAUACCAAUAUCCACUGGCGAGUUCAGAAACACUGAUCAUUGCUGCUAGAGGCUUAACUGUUGCUGGACGAUAGUCGAUAGUUUCCGAUUGAUCCACUUGUGAUUUUUGCUUUGAUUUUGAUGCCAAAUACAUCAGGCUUUAUCGAAAGCAUGAUAAUAAUAGUUGUGAUUAAGUGCUUUAUUAUUGUUUUGUAAAAUUGCGUCAACCGAAAUAAAUUUCAAUUUCAAAUUUU